rnacentral:rRNA from 1 species
UACGGAGGGGACUAGCGUUGUUCGGAAUUACUGGGCGUAAAGCGCACGUAGGCGGAUUUGUAAGUCAGGGGUGAAAUCCCGGGGCUCAACCUCGGAACUGCCUUUGAUACUGCAAAUCUCGAGUCCGGAAGAGGUGAGUGGAAUUCCUAGUGUAGAUGUGAAAUUCGUAGAUAUUGGGAAGAACACCUGUGGCGAAAGCGGCUCACUGGACCACAACUGACGCUGAGGCGCGAAAGCUAGGGGAGCAAACAGG